AAAAGGAGAGAAAUGGAGGUUUUGAAUAAAAACCUUCCAAAAUUCGUAGAGAAAGCUAGAGACCUCCAAAUCACUUUGUUCCAAAGCCAAACUUGUGAGAAAUUUCGAGAAGAAUCCAUUGGUACCAGUAUUUCUGGGUGGGUUUCACUGUAGAGAGAGAUCUUCCUCAUCUAAGAUUUCGAAUUUCAUGGAUAAUGGGGAUUUUGAUGGAGCUUGAAGCCAUGGGAGCUUGAAGUGCGCCUAAGAGUCUUGUUGAGGAUCCUACAUCAGAGGAGGCUUGGUAACUCGGUUGUUGGGUAGGCCAUCUAUACAGCUUAGAGAGGAACACAGUUAAUUGAAGAGCCUCAUGGGACAAGGACACUAACCGUGGCUAGAGGUACUAGUAUGAGGAUGUGGAGUUCUGGGUGGUCGGAUGCUACUAUUUGUUUUAGACGUAUUUUUGGAAAAGAUGUAUUGUUGCAUAGUGUUCAUAUUCGAUACAUGUACAUUUAUGUAUUCAGGCAUGAUGAUAUGACUAUGUAGUAUUCAGUUAUGUUAUGUAUUGGAUUGCAUGCUAUUAGAUUUGUGGC